GUAGUUUAUGUAUAUUUAGUAUAUGGUAGAGCAUGAGACUCUUAAUCUCAGGGUUGUGGGUUCGAGCCCCACAUUCGACA